UAUAACGGUCCUAAGGUAGCGAAAUUCCUUGUCGGUUAAAUACCGACCUGCAUGAAUGGCGUAACGAGAUGGGAGCUGUCUCAAAGAGGGAUCCAGUGAAAUUGUAGUGGAGGUGAAAAUUCCUCCUACCCGCGGCAAGACGGAAAGACCCCGUGGACCUUUACUACAGCUUGACACUGCUAUUUGGAUAAGAAUGUGCAGGAUAGGUGGGAGGCUUUGAGUAUAUGACGCCAGUUGUAUAUGAGCCAUUGUUGAGAUACCACUCUUUCUUAUUUGGGUAGCUAACCAGCUUGAGUUAUCCUCAAGUGGGACAA
rnacentral:rRNA from 2 species